rnacentral:rRNA from 1 species
AUUGAACGCUGGCGGCAUGCCUUACACAUGCAAGUCGAACGGCAGCACGGGUGCUUGCACCUGGUGGCGAGUGGCGAACGGGUGAGUAAUAUAUCGGAACGUACCUUAUUGUGGGGGAUAACGCAGCGAAAGCUGUGCUAAUACCGCAUAAUCCCUAAGGGGGACAGCGGGGGACCGUAAGGCCUCGCGCAAUUAGAGCGGCCGAUACCUGAUUAGCUAGUUGGUGAGGUAAAGGCUCACCAAGGCAACGAUCAGUAGCUGGUCUGAGAGGACGAUCAGCCACACUGGGACUGAGACACGGCCCAGACGCCUACGGGAGGCAGCAGUGGGGAAUUUUGGACAAUGGGGGCAACCCUGAUCCAGCAAUGCCGCGUGAGUGAAGAAGGCCUUCGGGUUGUAAAGCUCUUUUGUCAGGGAAGAAACAGCAGCUCUAACACAGUUUGCGAAUGACGGUACCUGAAGAAUAAGCACCGGCUAACUACGUGCCAGCCGCCGCCGUA